GGGUUCGUAGCUUAAUUGGAAAAGCAUCUAACUGGCUGUUAGAAAGAUAUCGGUUCAAAUCCGAUCGCAAUCCACCA
rnacentral:tRNA from 1 species